rnacentral:tRNA from 1 species
UCCCAUCUGGCUCAGUUGGUAGAGCAUGUGAUUCUUGAUCUCAGGGUCUUGAGUUCAAGCCCCACAAUGGGGC